rnacentral:rRNA from 1 species
ACACGUCUACAUUAGAUACCCGCGUAGUCCCAGCCGUAAACUAUGCGCGUUAGGUGUAUCGGUGACCACGAGUCACCGAGGUGCCGAAGGGAAACCGUGAAACGCGCCGCCUGGGAAGUACGGUCGCAAGGCUGAAACUUAAAGGAAUUGGCGGGGAGCACCACAACGGGUGGAGCCUGCGGUUUAAUUGGACUCAACGCCGGGAAGCUCACCGGAUAAGACAGCGGAAUGAUUGCCGGGCUGAAGACUCUGCAUGACUAGCUG